rnacentral:sRNA from 1 species
GUCAGGCAUGGUGGUGCACGCCUGUAAUCCCAGUAGCCUGGGAGGCUGAGGCAGAAGGAUCAUGAGUUCAUUGCCAGCCUCAGCAAAAGUCAGGCACUAAGCAACUCAGUGAGACCCUGUCUCUA